GAUGAACGCUGGCGGCGUGCUUAACACAUGCAAGUCGAACGGGAACUCUAGACUGAAGGUUCGCUGGAUGUUUAGAAAUUCUAGUGGCGGACGGGUGAGUAACGCGUGGGCAACCUGCCGUAUGCAGGGGGACAACAGCUGGAAACGGCUGCUAAUACCGCAUAAGCGCACAGCAUCGCAUGGUGCAGUGUGAAAAGAUUUAUCGGCAUACGAUGGGCCCGCGUUGGAUUAGGUAGUUGGCGGAGUAACGGCCCACCAAGCCUACGAUCCAUAGCCGACCUGAGAGGGUGAUCGGCCACAUUGGGACUGAGACACGGCCCAAACUCC
rnacentral:rRNA from 1 species